CCACAACAUGAGGAAUACCUGGACCACACACACACAAGAAAGAGUGCCACCAGUAGCAAAUGUCCAGUGUCCUUGUACAGCCUCCGUAUGGUUCUGAUGGUUGGGACACACAGACUUUACAUAAACCUCAUUACAAGAUUUAAUUAAAUAAAUGUUUUUCUUUUU